CCUUUGGGUUGCACCUCUUCCUGGAGUCUGCGGUCUGUAGUCCUACUCCGUCAGAUUGGGAUUCACCAAGCCUCCACAAUCAUGAGUUCCUAUCUGGAAAAAAAUUGGAAAUUCUGUAUGUUCAUUUCAAUGCCCUACAUUCCAGGGCCUUAUCUUCCUUGCAUCUAUUGACUUUAUACUACAUGUUAGAAAUGGUCUCUUGCCAAGUGGUUAGGAAAGUGAGGAAGAAAGAAGUGGAAUAAGUCAUCCAGGAUCAUAUUUCUGAAGGAAUUAUGAAGCACAGAGAUUUCUGACUGAGCACAGUUAGAUUUCAAGGACUUAACCACCUACUCAUGAAUCAUCUUGCAAGAAUCUUCAUACACUUUGAAGACUCUCCCUUCCAUUUUCUGUUUUGCAGUCCUUGAAAGUAUUAUGCCACAAGCUUGGAACGUUCUCCUUUUUUCUACCUCUGCCACCCCCUCCAGUCUGUUUAGCUGAAAAUUGUUUUCUUCAGAUCCCAAUAGUCUUGAUUCUUUGAACAUCCUAGGCUGAAUGAGCUCUGCCAAGUCAGAGUUGCUCCUUUAGCAGUCUAUAUUUCACCUUGGAGACAGAUGCUGUACUGCCAUUGUUCUGUUCAAUGCUUACCUUCCCCUAUUAAACUGGAAACUUCCUGAGGACAAGGACAAUCCACAUUACACCACCCAGAGCAGAGCACAGACACCCCUUGGCAAUAGUAGGUGCAGUAAAC
ensembl:lncRNA